AUUGAACGCUGGCGGCAGGCCUAACACAUGCAAGUCGAACGGUAACAGGAAGCAGCUUGCUGCUUCGCUGACGAGUGGCGGACGGGUGAGUAAUGUCUGGGAAACUGCCUGAUGGAGGGGGAUAACUACUGGAAACGGUAGCUAAUACCGCAUAAUGUCGCAAGACCAAAGAGGGGGACCUUCGGGCCUCUUGCCAUCGGAUGUGCCCAGAUGGGAUUAGCUAGUAGGUGGGGUAACGGCUCACCUAGGCGACGAUCCCUAGCUGGUCUGAGAGGAUGCCCCGCCACACUGGAACUGAGACACGGUCCAGACUCCUACGGGAGGCAGCAGUGGGGAAUAUUGCACAAUGGGCGCAAGCCUGAUGCAGCCAUGCCGCGUGUAAGAAGAAGGCCUUCGGGUUGUAAAGUACUUUCAGCGGGGAGGAAGGCGAUAAGGUUAAUAACCUUGUCGAUUGACGUUAUCCGCAGAAGAAGCACCGGCUAACUCCGUGCCAGCCGCCGCCGUAA
rnacentral:rRNA from 1 species